ensembl:lncRNA
GCACCGGCACCGGCGGGGUGGGGGCGUUCCGGGGCCAUGUCGGGUCACGACGGCGGCAUGUCGAGUCGCGACAGCGUGCAGAUCCCCGACGACCGGGACUUCGGGGCGUUCCGGGCGCAGUGCGAGUCGGAGCGCGGCUGGAGCCUCACCUACAGCAAGGGCGGGGUGGGGGUCUGGGUGCAGCUGCUGGAGCCCGAGCGCGCCCUCCACAAGAUCAAGGAUGGAGUGCAGGGACGUGCCUGCGGAGACGCUGUACGACGUGCUCCACGACAUCGAGUACCGCAAGAAGUGGGACACCAAUGUCAUCGAGACCUUUGACAUCGGGAGGCUGACAGCCAACUCCGAUGUGGGCUACUACGCCUGGAGGUGUCCCAAGCCCCUGAAGAACCGGGACGUGGUCACACUCCGCUCCUGGCUGCCCAUGGGCUCUGACUACAUCAUCAUGAACUACUCUGUCAAGCAUCCUAAGUACCCCCCCCGCAAGGACAUGGUGCGGGCUGUCUCCAUUCAGACAGGCUACCUGAUCGAGGGGACAGGAGCCAAGAGCUGCACCAUCACCUACCUGGCACAGGUGGACCCCAAAGGUUCUUUACCGAAGUGGGUGGUGAACAAAUCCUCCCAGUUUCUGGCCCCCAAGGCCAUGAAGAAGAUGUACAAGGCAUGCCUCAAGUACCCUGAGUGGAAGCAGAAGCAUGACCCUCACUUCAAGCCCUGGCUGUUCCCGGAGCAGAGCCGACUCCCAGCCCUGGCACUCUCUGAGCUCUCCCUCCAGCAUGCGGAUUCCCUGGAAAACAUUGAUGAGAGCUCCCUGGCCGAGAGCAAGGAGGACCGUGGCGAGGGCAGUGAUGAGGACAGCCUGACCUGAUUCCCCUGGGAGCUCCUCUCCUUGUUCCCCUGGCUGGGACAGCCUGACAUGACACCCCCCUGGGGGCUCCUCUCCCUAUCCCCCCACUUCCAACAUGGUUUGUGUCUCUAUCUCACACACCUGUACACAUGCACCCCCACUUUGGGUUCAGGGGGACCCUCCCAUUGUUGUACCCCUGUCUGGGGACAGCAGGGGCAUAGUGGGUCCCCCAGGGUGAGAAGUUUGGGGUUGUCUGGUCACUCAGCCCUUGUGGGACACCAGUGUUUUCCCUAUAGGUGGCAAACCCAAAGUGACCUUCAGCUUUUGCAGGGGCAGAGGAAAAGGGGGGCCCUGUGCCUGCUCCUCAGCCCUGGAGACCCUUCCACUGAGCUCCCCCUCUGCCCCCCAUCCUUGCUCCCCAUCUCUGUUAUGGUCCAACAGAACUGCCUUCAUCCCAUGGGAUCCCCACCCCCAGCAGGGGGUGCUUGGGCACCUGCCUGCACCUCUGGGCAUGCAGAGGGGUUUUUGGGGGGCUUCUGGCACCUCCUGGCAUGCUGGGAAGGAGGGCCUUUGGGGAUUUUUGGCAUCUCCAAGCAUGUAGAGGGGAAGCUUCUAGGCUCCUGGCACCUCCAGCAUGUUGGAGGGGAUGUUGGGGUCUUACCUUCAGGCAUGUGGGAUGUGUUGAGGGGCUCAUGGCACCUCCAGAUUCGCUGUGGCGGAUGUUUUGGGGGCUCCUGGGAUCUCCAUGUUGUGGGGGGUCUUAUGGGCUCUCAGCAUCUUCAGGUUUGUUUGGGGGAGGCUUUAGGAUAAGCUCACACCUCCAGGUGUGCCCAGUGUCUCUGGGGGCUCCCAGCAUCUUCAGGCACGUUGAGAGGACUUGGGGGGACUCCUGGCACCUCCAGGUGUUCUGUGGGUCUCUGAAGGCUCCUGUCCCCUCCCCUGCCUUUCUAGGAUGGGGACCCUUUCCAAGCUGGGUGCCUGAACCCUUCCUCCGCUGGAAUUUGAGGCCUUGACUGGGGGUUUGGGAGCUGGUUUUUGGCCAUGCUCCUGCCCCCUUCUUUUCUGGGGGUGCACAGGGACAUGGGAGAUUUUGUACCUUGUACCAGAGCUGAUUAUUUAGGAAUAAAAUAAUUAAAUCUGGCAUGGGAGGGACUCAACCUCUAUCCCACCUUGGUCCUUUGAGAGCCAUCCCUGUCCCCAUAGUGCAUUCAGGCAGGGGGUCCCUGCUCAUGGUGGGUGCUGGUGGGACCCUCGGGGGUUGUGGGACUUCAGGGGAUUUUGGGUGGUGGUGAUGCCACCAGAGGGUGACAGAGAAACCCCUAAAAUGAAUUUGCACUGGGCACUAACUAGGCAUGAGGCUACAUACAUGCCCCUGUAGUUGUUUUUCCCACAGCCCCAGCCAAGCCAGUACCACCAGUACAUUUUCCCCAAAACCUCCUCUGGGAGAGGAGACUGAAUUUUUGGGCACUGUGGGGGGAUACAUCCUGGCUUCUCUAGGAGGAGAAUAUUGGGGAACAGAGCUGACACUCCCAGGGAUUGUGGUGCUUUUGUGGAGCUCUGGGACUCUUGUCUCCUCCUGGGGGUACACCCAGGCUGCUUGUGCACCCCACUUGCUGUGGCACCCCAAAACCUCAGCAGGCCCCAGCCCUUCUCUGUGCCCUAGCAGGGUCUUGGUGGGUGGCAUUGUCCAGCACGUGCCAUUCUCUGUGCCUGUACCUCUGUCACCUGUGGGACCGGGG